AGAGCUUAAGAUGGUUAAAGAAAACUUAGUUUGAUAGAAUUCUGUCUGGCAAGAAACCACUUAUCAACAGUUGUGGUUGUGAAACCCUCAUUUCUUUAUUGUUUUGUCUUUAUGGCCCCCAUUUCUCUAUUGUUUGUCUCUAUGGUCUCUGUCUGGCUCUUUGAUUGUGUCUGUCUGUUGCAUAACUAAUUUUGCUAGGUGUAAAUCAAUUAAGGUGGUGGGGUAUGAUUGGUUAAAAGAUUGUUUUACAACAUGUUAGGAUUGGUUAGAGAAUUGUUUAGUAAUAACUUAGUACAAUGAUUGGUUAAGGUACAGCUAAGCAGGACUCAAGUUUCUCUAUUUAAACUGGGGUCCGAGAAGGAGACCAGCAGAAGGAACAGAAGAAGAAGAAGAAGGAAAGACCUGGAAGAAGAAGAAGAACUCACCUCUAAGACACAGCCUAAGAUCAGAGCUGUUAAGAAUCCUCUGCACGACUGAGAUGUGCAGCAACCAGAAUCCAGACGAGACCGACCUUGCCUGGCCGACAGGGAAAGUCCGCCUGCCUGAUCAGGACCGAAAACAGGUUUUGUCCAGCAAACCUGAAUCAAUUCUUCGAUGACAUAAGAAGAUUGGCUGACGGAGGUCAUUGUCCCACUCUGCUCGGCACUGGGGAGGCCUCAGCUGGAGUCCUGUGUCCAAUGCUGGGCACCGCGCUUCGGGAAGGAGGUGGACAAACUGAAGAGUCCAGAGGAGAGCAAGAAAAAGGGAAGCCAGUGCAGGUGAUCGGCCGUUGCAACAACUCCCGAGGGCAGUGGGCAAGUCUCCAUCCCUUGACGUCUCCAAGUCCAGCUGGCGGCCUUUCUGAAGACGUUUGAGCACAACACAGUAGGGCCCUGCAACCCAACCCAGCCCAGCCCCGAUGGGGUCCAACACAAGCCUUGGGUUUGGGUCAGGUCAGGAAACGCCCCAGCCCCAGGGGCUCAGGCAGGGUGGGGCUGAAGCAGUGGCCCCCGCCCCCGCUGGCCGCCUCCCUGCACUGGGUGCGCUGCGGAGUGAGUGAGUCGCAGCGCCCCUCGCUGGGCAGCACGCACACAGCAGGAGCGGGCACACAGCCGCCCGCGCCGGUGCCCACCCCCUGGGCAGGA